rnacentral:rRNA from 1 species
GAUGAACGCUGGCGGCGUGCCUAAUACAUGCAAGUCGAGCGAACGGACGAGAAGCUUGCUUCUCUGAUGUUAGCGGCGGACGGGUGAGUAACACGUGGAUAACCUACCUAUAAGACUGGGAUAACUUCGGGAAACCGGAGCUAAUACCGGAUGAUAUUUUGAACCGCAUGGUUCAAAAGUGAAAGACGGUCUUGCUGUCACUUAUAGAUGGAUCCGCGCUGCAUUAGCUAGUUGGUAAGGUAACGGCUUACCAAGGCAACGAUGCAUAGCCGACCGGAUCGGGGGAGCGGCCACCCUGGCACUGAGAGACGGUCCCGGCUCCUACGGGAGGCAGCAGUAGGGCAUCUUCCGCAAUGGGCGAAAGCCUGACGGAGCAACGCCGCGUGAGUGAUGAAGGUCUUCGGAUCGUAAAACUCUGUUAUUAGGGAAGAACAUAUGUGUAAGUAACUCUGCACGUAUUGACGGUACCUAAUCAGAAAGCCACGGCUAACUACGUG